rnacentral:tRNA from 1 species
UGGCUCAGUGGUGAAGAAUCUGCCUGCAAUGCAGGAGACCCAGGUUCGAUCCCUGG